UUAUGUUUCAGCUGGCUGUCAGCAAGGGUGAGGAAGGAAUUCCCCUUGAAACCACAGCCAUCCAGCUGUAUUUGAUGUACUUACCUUCCUCUACAGCCCUAAGAGCUGGUGACAGUUGAAGCCGGAGCAGCAGAAGAUGCAGCUCGUUGAUCUGGCGGGGAACUGACAGUCCUUCCCUAUGGCCCAAGAGCUACAGAGCAGUGAGAGGAGUCCCCAGGGUCAGGGAAAUGUCACUCGGCAUAAGAACCAGAGAGGAAUGCUAAUAAAAGGCCAUCCCUGUGGAAGAUGCUCAGAGAGAUCCAGACCUGACCAGCCCUGCCGGGUUCUGCAAACCCCAAAGCCCUGUUCAGCACAUGGCCUUUCAAAGGUGAAAUGUGAUUAAAGGUGAAAUAUAAAGGAUUA